GGCCCUUCACAAGUUUUAGUAUAACACCAGUGAGAAAAAUUUGCAGAUUGUUCUGUGUAGACCAGAAAUCAGAAGGUGAUAAAGGGGCAAUUAGAUUUGAAUAAUCCGGAGAUAUGAAGUGUAUUUGGUAUUCACCUCCUUCUAUUUCUCUAUGAAGACAAAAUGGAUAGAUGACCUCUCCAUGUGAAAUGGGACACAUAAGUUUUUAAGAUGAUUCUGAAAGAAAGUUCCUUAUACAAUCACUCAGGUGAUGUUCCAAACACAGGGCUGUGGAGGGGAUGGUGGCUGCCGGUGGUUGCUGUCAGCCACAGGGUUGGUUUGUUUCCCACAGGUUCCAGAAAUAGUUUCUAAUAACAAAUGUCAUAUUUUGUUUAGAAUUGAUUUAUUUUUUAUAAUUUAUUUUCUCCCUGUAGGCAGCACUCAGAAGUAUGUUCUCAGAAUAAUUCCUGAUCCUCUGUGAGUUCCUGGUGCAGCUCCUGGAGGCAAAGCCUGCAUGGGGGAGGGAGCCCUCCUCACAUGCAGCCCUGAGGCUGCCACGUCACUUCACCCACCGUUGCCCUUCAGUCACUUCCUGAACACUUAUGAGUUGAUCUUCCUGAAACAUGUGGUAUUUGGCAGUGUCUUUCCCAGGACAUUGAUUAUGGGAUUCACCAGAAGCUGCUGGCCUUUCACAGGCACAGACCUUCCUCUACACCAGUGGUCCCCAACAUUUUUGGCACCAGGGAACGGUUUCGUGGCAGACAAUUUUUCCAUGGAUGAUGGCGGCUGCACCCUUUACAAGGAGUCUCCAGUGGUACAGCGGAUUUUCCUCCAUCCUCCACUCCCCCUCCUGGCUGCAGCAUCCACAGAUUAUUUUCUUGAAUCUGACCCCAGUUGUUUAUUAAUUAUACCCCUUUUCAUGACACGGGAAGGCUAAGAUGAAGCUGUCUGGGAUGGAAAAGAAUCCCUUCCUCUCACAUAGAAUAAAGAUCUUGAAAAGUA
rnacentral:lncRNA from 10 species